rnacentral:rRNA from 1 species
GGCGGCAUGCUUACACAUGCAAGUCGAACGGCAGCGGGGGAAAGCUUGCUUUCCUGCCGGCGAGUGGCGAACGGGUGAGUAAUACAUCGGAACGUGCCCUGUAGUGGGGGAUAACUAGUCGAAAGAUUAGCUAAUACCGCAUACGACCUGAGGGUGAAAGUGGGGGACCGCAAGGCCUCAUGCUAUAGGAGCGGCCGAUGUCUGAUAGCUAGUUGGUGGGUAAAGGCCCACCAAGGCGACGAUCAGUAGCUGGUCUGAGAGGACGAUCAGCCACACUGGGACUGAGACACGGCCCAGACUCCUACGGGAGGCAGCAGUGGGGAAUUUUGGACAAUGGGCGAAAGCCUGAUCCAGCAAUGCCGCGUGUGUGAAGAAGGCCUUCGGGUUGUAAAGCACUUUUGUCCGGAAAGAAAUGGCUCUGGUUAAUACCUGGGGUCGAUGACGGUACCGGAAGAAUAAGGACCGGCUAACUACGUGCCAGCAGCCGCGGUAAUACGUAGGGUCCAAGCGUUAAUCGGAAUUACUGGGCGUAAAGCGUGCGCAGGCGGUUGUGCAAGACCGAUGUGAAAUCCCCGAGCUUAACUUGGGAAUUGCAUUGGUGACUGCACGGCUAGAGUGUGUCAGAGGGGGGUAGAAUUCCACGUGUAGCAGUGAAAUGCGUAGAGAUGUGGAGGAAUACCGAUGGCGAAGGCAGCCCCCUGGGAUAACACUGACGCUCAUGCACGAAAGCGUGGGGAGCAAACAGGAUUAGAUACCCUGGUAGUCCACGCCCUAAACGAUGUCAACUAGUUGUUGGGGAUUCAUUUCCUUAGUAACGUAGCUAACGCGUGAAGUUGACCGCCUGGGGAGUACGGUCGCAAGAUUAAAACUCAAAGGAAUUGACGGGGACCCGCACAAGCGGUGGAUGAUGUGGAUUAAUUCGAUGCAACGCGAAAAACCUUACCUACCCUUGACAUGCCACUAACGAAGCAGAGAUGCAUUAGGUGCUCGAAAGAGAAAG